CUGGCUGAUCAGGCCACUUGCAUCAAUGACAUUGUUCAGGACAAACUUGAAUCUGUUGAAAAGUACCAUUCACGUUUAACACAAACUUUCUUUGAUUUAGGGUUUAGUACUUACAAUAAAGCGCACACCCAGAUGUUGUCUUCCGCUUUUGUUGCUGGGCUAAAAGAACAUAUUCAUAAGGGUCUAGUGCUUUCCCAUCCUGAGUACCGGAUCAUCCCUUUA